rnacentral:rRNA from 1 species
UACGGAGGGUGCAAACGUUGCUCGGAAUCAUUGGGCGUAAAGCGCACGUAGGUGGCCUGUUAAGUCGGGUGUGAAAUCCCUGGGCUCAACCCAGGAAGUGCACUCGAAACUGGCAGGCUUGAGUACUGAAGAGGGGUCGCGGAAUUCCCGGUGUAGAGGUGAAAUUCGUAGAUAUCGGGAGGAACACCAGUGGCGAAGGCGGCGACCUGGGCAGAUGACUGACACUGAGGUGCGAAAGCGUGGGGAGCAAACAGGG